rnacentral:lncRNA from 1 species
GGUGAACGAGUUGACUGAAAGACCGAGUGAACGAAAGAUCCAGACGGUGAACGAGUUGACUGAAAGACCGAGUGAACGAAAGAUCCAGACCGAUGAACGAGUUGACUGAAAGACCGAGUUGACUGGCCGCCGCACGAGGCCCGACAGCCGAGCCCGAGCGAGCGGGACAGUCACACACACACAAAGGCACACAGCUGCUGCUGCAGCCAGAGGCAGAGAGACAACUAUUAAUACGCAUUUGCACUGUCUGUUGACAUUUUGUACUUUUUAUUAUUGUUUUUAAUGCACCUCAAAAUAAUAAAAACCAUUAAAAACCUUAUAUAUUUUGUUACUCCUACUAUAAUUUUAUAUUACAAGGAGUGCAGCGCGAUCGCAGCGUUGGACCGGGGGUGGGAAGUGGGGAGUGCAGCGGUCACAGCGUCGGACCGCGGGGGGGUCGUAACGUCGGACCGGGGAGCUGAGACGCUCGCAACGUCGGAUCCGGAGGGGUGUAAUGCUUCAGAUUUCAAGAUCACAUGUUGUUGCGCUGUUAAGUCUGAAGUGCAGUCAGUCCGUUCGUUCAUCACGAACGUGAACAACAUGAACGAGUGGACUGACUAAUGACCGAUUGACCGAAAUGACCGAAAUGAACGGGUCUUUUUACUGAACGACCCGGAAUGAUCCGGUUCACUGAAAUGAACGGUUUUGCCCACCACUACUGAAAUGUAUUCAUUUAUUACUCCUGGUACAACAAAAGGAAAUAUGAAGAAUAAUAAAAACAAUGAAAAAUUAAGCAAGAGUAGCUUUAUUCUUAACCUCUGACCCUGUCUCCUUUUACCACACCCUUACAUGUAAUAUUUACAGUGAAAAUCUCAGCCACCUUUGCUGCACAGUGCACACAGAUGAGAGGCCAAAAACUUAUAAAAACAUAUGCACAUGUUGGUGAACGUGUGUCAAUUGUUGUUAGUAGGUGCUCAUAGAUGAGUGACGUGCAUAGUGCCAUUUGGCCUAUCUAGAGAUGACAUUCAUCAGCCACCUUGAAUGGCAGACACACACAAACACACACACACACACACACACACACACACACACACACACACACACACACACACACACACACACACUGUAUUCUGUUUGUGUGUCAGAGGGACCUCUAAGAGUGUGUAAAAGGUGCUCUGGCUUAAGGAAUUGACAGGACAUAGAGGUGAAACUCAACCAGCCCAAGGGAAUAUGGGAAGCAUACAAAGCUACUUGGAGUGUGUGCAUGGGUGUGUCACUGAGCUGAACUGUCUGACUCUGGCUCCUCUCAGGACCCUGCUGUCAACAGUAGUGAUAUUAUAAAGAGCUUCAGGGUGGAAACGGCCAAACACUCCUCCCUGGACAGAUCUAUCCGAUCUUCCCUAUAUUGUACAUCAAGAAGAAUCUGAAACGACUGAAUCUGAAAAGCGGAGGUGGUUUUCACCUAUCAGGUAGUGCAGAAACAUUUGAAUUUUCCCCAAUGUAGUUUUUGUAUCAGUGUUAAGCCAGUGGUACACGCAUCCAGGGGAAUACGCUUAUUUUUAUUUGUGGACCCAAAAUACACUUAACCGGCUUUUUCUUAAGAUCUGCAAUAAAUGAUUUAAAAAAAUAGCUGUAAUGUCCCAAAAAUGAAUAAAGAUGCACAAAGACUUGGAUGGAUUUUUACUCCCAACUAUAGAUCCACAAAAUCAAAGUUUGCACUUAGAGUUUGGUCUAAUAAUUUGAAGGUCUGCAUACCCUUUUGUGGGUUUUUGCAAAUAUUUCUGGCCCUACCUACAUAUUUUUGUAUAUGCAUUUGGACUUGUGGAUCUGGAUUAUUUGUGGAUCUGUCCUUGUGUGUCUUGAUCUGCACACAUAUUUGUGGAUCCCAGCGUGCACAUGCAUAUGCAGCAAUGGAUCUGCGUAUAUAUUUUUUGAUGUAAGUGUGCAUUUGUUGAUCUACGUAUGGAUUUGUAGAUAUGAGUGUUCAAGUGUUUGAUGCUGUACUUGCAUUUGCAUAUCAUACACUAUUUAUUCUCAUUUCUUCUUGAGUUUCAAUUUUGUAUCACUUUAAUCGAAUCUUCAAAAAUGCGAUCUAGUACAGACAAUGACUGUCCUUCUAUUGCAGUCCACUCCCAGAAUCCCCCCACAAAAGCUGUAGGCUAAUGAAGCAUAGCGGUCGUUCAGGCAGGACACGGAGUCAAGCUAAAGGUUACAGUCAGCUGAUCUUAAGCCAGCCCUCAGUCAGUUGACAGCUCAGGUGAUCGCUGUCUACACAUCCUAUUGGCUAAUGUCAAAAUGGUGCCCUAUUUAAACUGCUUCUCCUGCCUGCAGCAACCACUCUGCAGGGCUGCAUCUACUCUGCAAGCUCCCAUUCUCUUGAGAACACUCAGAUCUGCAUUUUUGCUUUUUUCUACCUUGCUCUUCAUCAUGUUGAUCCCGGCCCACGACGUGGAUCCAUGGCAGAUUGACUGCGCAACAUCAGCAAUGUGAAGUCGAGGAAGCCAGUCCUUGCAAUGGCAGCUACGUUCCCUUCCGCAUGAGCUAUCCUCUGGCAAGUAAAACUUCUUUCUCCUAGCUUCAUGAAUGGCGGUGUCCAGGCCCCUGGAAGUCCUUUAAAAAUAACAUCACAGCUCCAGAUGGUGCCUCACAUCAAGAGAUUUUCACCUUGUUUAUGAAUAAUAAAAAAUAUAUAUAUAUACAGUAUAUAUGUAUAUAUAUAUGUGUGUGUGUGUGUGUGUGUGUAUAGAGAUUGAGCCUCCACUUGCAGUUCUCUCUUCCUCCUUUGUCUCUAGAAAAGCAACGGAGAAAAGAAAACACUGUUCCCGCAGCGUCACGGGCCAAUCCCAGCUACCAGACCCAUCGACCUGGACGACAGUCCCAUCCUGAACGCACCUAGCAUCUAGCAUCCAGCCAUCACCUACCCAUAUGUCUUCAAGGAUCGAAGCCUCAGAAUCCAGUUGGGCACGUUAAAGAUGGUGAUCCCCGGCUGUUUAACUCUCCGACCUUAGCUGAAUUCAUGUAGCUUUCAGCGUAUUUGGAAAUUUCAUAUGUGAAGUGUUUUCAGCACGCAGAACUGAACUGGACACAUAUCUUGCCAUCAUUUCUGAUUCAGCCAUGACUUAUGGAAGAAUAUUAUUCUAGUAAUAUCACAAAUCAGUAGAAAUUUCACUGGGCCUCAAGCUUUUUCCUGCUCAAUCUGUGUGUCUUUCUUUCACACCCAGAGGUGGAAGUAAGCCAGUAAGCCGAUAUGCAGCGGGACACAGAAGUACGCCGUUCCAGGAAGACAUAAUCAGCAGUUUACAGCCGGUAUGCAGCGGUACGCAAACCUUCACCCCUGCAGUAUAUGUAGGGUACAUUUGCUUAGUGUGUUGCCGUACAUCAGUCUGCACUCUGCAUUGUAACUAUAGAAAUCCAAUCGCACUUUUGAUUGGACGCUGGUUGCCAAGGUGCUGGGGCCCGCCUCCCGCCUUUUGUGGAAGGAGGGAACUUUUAAACAGAUAGCCGCUUCAAUCUUAAUGCAGAAAUAAGACAAAAUGAUAAAUAAAUCAACAAAUAAAUAAAUUGAUUUUAUGUUCAAGAGAGAGAGAGAUGCAGCAGAUGAUGAUACUCUGGCAUCAGAGUCCACAUCUCGCUAAAUGUGGGUAUCCUCCCCUUGUUCAAGCCUACGGGGACAGUACAUGCAAGAAUAUUAUCCUAUAUUAACCCCUUCUCACACCUCCAAUCUGUGCCCUAAAACUGUGCCUACAGGCCAACCACCAAGCUUCUUCUAAGUUUACAACUCAGCAAAGCCAAGUUACUGCAAGGACAGACAUCUAAAAUCAGCAUGCCCAAGAUGCACUCACCUUGUAAAAAAGGAGAAUAAAGCUGUCUACUCUGUCAAAUGUCCCUGAGCUGGGGAAGGCACUGGCAAAGCAUCCCAACUGCUGUUUGUGAAUUAUUUGAUGACAGGACUGGUUCAGGGGUUCCUAGCAGGUUUGGUCUGGCUGCCAAAAGUGUGUUUUGUGUGUAAAAAAAAAAUUACAAUCCAUGAUAAAAGAUCUUGAAAUAGUAGAUGGAGAAGAGGUUAAGAAAAGAUUCAUGAUUGGACCCUAUGCCAAGUCACCUUUCAAUUACCUGCAUUCAUCCUUUAGGCAUAGCUACGGGUAAAUACUCGGGGACAAGCAGAGAAGUAACGGGUCAUCCUCGAGAGGCAGUACAUCUACCGAAAAGAGAACUUUUCUCUUUGCUUUGGCAUAUUAAUUUGUCAUGCGUGUCAUGCCUCAGGGGCGGUCCUUUAUAUCUAGACUUCUCAACCUCAUCAAAUCAGUUGAGAAACUCCAUGAAAGGGUAAGUUUAGAUGAAAGUUGCAGAUCCAAACUGCGGUUUGGUCACUUCUGUGCUGUGCCGGGAGGCAGCACCAUCCAGCCGGACCUGUCCCCCAUUCACUCAGACUGAAUUUGUCUGAGUGCAGUCUUGCAAACUUGUGUGCUCUCUGCUGCCCGCUAUACGAUAGCUGGUUAAGCAAAAUCAGCAUUUAAGUUAAUAUGAUUCUGCAUGGUCUUACUUUAUCUCUUUUGUACCACCUUCUCUGUAGCUCCAACGCUGUAAAUAUAUCCAUUGUUUGUGCAUUAAUACUGUUUUGAAUCUUGCAAAUAUUGCCAUCCUACAUUAAAGGACUUGUAGCAGGUAUUCAGUUCCAUCUGCGCUGUCUGACCCCAUCUACCACCAGCCUGCUUAUUCAUCUCCUGCUCAAUGGCCUAAAGAAGGAAAGGCCGCAAGACAAAGAUAAACAUCUCCCCUUUACUCCCCUGGUUCUAAAAAACCUAAUCACUUAUUCAAGAGGUGGUUGCUUUGGUCCUUAUACUGAUUUGCUUUGGAACAGUGUUCCUCACAGCUUUCUAUGGGUAUCUCAGAGGUAGUGAAUUCACUAUACGCACUAAUUAUUUCAAUCCUACACAUGACCUCAUUCUUGCUGACAUAGAAAUUAAGCCUCACAAUUUCACUCUAUUUCUAAGUACUCAAAAACUAAAGAAAAUGUAAUGCGUCUUUUAUUACUCGAACUAACUCUGACUUUGUACUUUGUCCUCCAUGUCCCACUACCUGAGAGGCCAGCCACUGGCCAGCUAGCAAGAGCCUCUCUUUGCCACAGAAGAAGGGAAACCUAUAUCCAGAUGGUGGUUUUCUGCUCACCUCUGCCUGCUCUGCCACUCCUGCUGGCUCCCACCCGAGUGCAACUCGCGCAUAGAUGCAUACAUGCAUACAUGCAUACAUGCAGCUACAACUGCAUCCUCCAUUGUCCCCGUCUUAACACUCAAGGCUACGGGUCAAUGGUCCUCAUCAUAAUACCUCAGGCCUGAGGCUCAAGAAAUUCUUAUGCUCAAUUAGCUGUUAGUGCUUUGAAAAAUGCUUCUGUGUAAUAAUUCUGUCCCAUAUC